UAUCAUAAUAUAAGAGAAUUAAUAAGAAACGGAAUCCAUGGCGCCAGAUAAUCUCGAUGGCAAAGCUGGAGGUAAUGGACGACCUUUCGAGGGCGCGACGCUCCGCCCCCACCGGAUAAUUCGAGAAACAAUGGCAGCCGGAGACAUGCAGAGGCACGGCGGCACGAUUUCAGUGCAAACACGAAGAUUGACAGCGAAUACUAGAUUCGAAUAUCGCUACACGUUGCCAUGACGAAAACGGAACAGUGCAGGUUAAAGAGGCGAAGGGAAAGGCAGGUCAAAGCAGCGACGCACUGGCCAGGUGCGCAGACAUUCCACUCGCCUUGCGGUACGCUCACCCCUCUUUCCCCGGCCGCGAUUAUUUUCUACCUGGAGCUCCACGUUUAUUUCUUCAUGGCGGAUCGAACGAUAUAUUCGAUACAUCGAACCGAUCCAAAACGAUAGUAUUGUGUGUAUGAAUGAAUUCUCCACGAAGAAGAUUCGAAGAGGUAUAAGGAUGGUGAUCGAAAGAACAAAAAUGGCGGCUACCUGGCGCACUUCUGAGUUAUAAGGAACCUCUAUAAAUGAUCACAGUUUACAUUGAAUCGAAGGAGAAUGAAGGAAAGCUAACAAGCAACAAGUUGGCACGAUCUCUGUAUGGGGUGGGGAAAUGAGAGAAUAAGAAGAACUAUAUAAGUACUUAUAGACAGAGAAGCAGAAAACGGGAAAGCAAUCAUCGUUGGAUUUGAUAGGAAUAUCCGUAGAAACGAAAUGCUUAGCACUACGUAAGAACGAUGUCGUGGCAAGGAGACCGGAUUGGUCGGUCACCUGUUGCCCGCUAGCUGUGAUUGGUCGGGCUCGACAGCGCGUAACGACAGCAAGAGGAAGACAAGUGCAUUGUCGGUUAGUUUAUGAUGGACCAAGAUCAAAAAUAAAUACAAGAAUGUUAAUUUCGUAUUUUUAUUAUAUAUAUUUAUAUACAUAUAAGUUAUUUGCUUUUCUUUGCGAACAAAUUAACCAUAUUGAAAUUACAAAAUAGAUAUAUAUUUAUUCACAUA